rnacentral:lncRNA from 1 species
CACAGACAAACACACACAUGCAGACACACACAGACAAACAUGCAGACACACACAGAGACAGAAGCAAACACACAGACUCAUACAUAUAAACACACACACACAAGCAAACACACAGAUGCAGACACACAGAUGCAUGUACGCAGACACAGACACAAGGAGACACACAGAUACAGACACAUGCACACAGAUACACAGACACACAUGCAGACGCACACACAGAGACACAAACAGACACAGACACAUAGACACACCUGCAGACACACACACAGAGACACAAGCAGGCAUACAGACACAGACAUAUAAACACACACAGACACACACAUGCAGACACGAGCACACAGAGACAAGCAAACACACAGACAAACACAUACACAAGCAGACACACAGACAAACAUGCAGACACACACAGAGAGACACAAGCAAACACACGACACAGGCAUAUAAAUGCACACAGAUACAAGCAAACACACAGAUGCAGACACACAGACAGACUCAUGCACACAGACACACAGACACAAGCAGACACACACAUACAGACACACCACAGUACAAAUUUUUAUCUGAAACUUGGGGUUAGUUGGUAGGGGCUUGCCUUCCCAGCCUGAAGACAGCACUCUCUUCAGCUCCCAGCACUGCAUAAGCUGGCUUUGAGAGCAAAGUCUGUAAUCCCAGAAUAACGGAAAUCAGAACAAUAGGUAAUUCAGGGCCAAGGGCAUCCUCUUGUCUCAUGCUGUCUCUAGAGGAAAAGAACACCCGCUUCCUAUUGAGGACACACUGAGCCCCCCCACGGAGUGACAUCUUGGAUCUAGUUCAACAUGGACAAAAAUCUCAAAUAAAACACUUAGGGCU